rnacentral:rRNA from 1 species
CCAGCCCGCUCAGAAACUCAAAGGAAUUGACGGGGCCCGCACAAGCGGUGGAGCAUGUGGUUAAUUCGAAGCAACGCGAAGAACCUUACCAGGCCUUGACAUGCAGAGAACUUUCCAGAGAUGGAUUGGUGCCUUCGGGAACUCUGACACAGGUGCUGCAUGGCUGUCGUCAGCUCGUGUCAUGAGAUGUUGGGUUAAGUCCCGUAACGAGCGCAACCCUUGUCCUUAGUUACCAGCACGUUAUGGUGGGCACUCUAAGGAGACUGCCGGUGACAAACCGGAGGAAGGUGGGGAUGACGUCAAGUCAUCAUGGCCCUUACGGCCUGGGCUACACACGUGCUACAAUGGUCGGUACAAAGGGUUGCCAAGCCGCGAGGUGGAGCUAAUCCCAUAAAACCGAUCGUAGUCCGGAUCGCAGUCUGCAACUCGACUGCGUGAAGUCGGAAUCGCUAGUAAUCGUGAAUCAGAAUGUCACGGUGAAUACGUUCCCGGGCCUU